rnacentral:rRNA from 1 species
GUAGGUGGCAAGCGUUGUCCGGAAUUAUUGGGCGUAAAGCGCGCGCAGGCGGUUCUUUAAGUCUGAUGUGAAAGCCCACGGCUCAACCGUGGAGGGUCAUUGGAAACUGGAGAACUUGAGUACAGAAGAGGAAAGCGGAAUUCCACGUGUGGCGGUGAAAUGCGUAGAGAUGUGGAGGAACACCAGUGGCGAAGGCGGCUUUCUGGUCUGUAACUGUCGCUGAGGCGCGAAAGCGUGGGGAGCAAACAGGAUUAGAUACCCUGGUAGUCCACGCCGUAAACGAUGAGUGCUAAGUGUUAGGGGGUUUCCGCCCCCCUUAGUGCUGCAGCUAACGCAUUAAGCACUCCGCCUGGGAGUACGGCCGCAAGGCUG